UUUGACAUUACUUUAGGAAUAAGCCACGGCUAACCUCGUGCCAGCAGCCGCGGUAAGACGAGGGUGGCAAGCGUUACCCGGAUUUACUGGGCGUAAAGCGUUCGUAGGUGGUUUUGAUAGUUUGUUGUUAAACCCUAGGGCUUAACUUUAGGGCCGCAGCAAAUACUACAAAACUAGAGAAAAAGAGAGGUAAGCGGAACUCCUGGUGUAGCAAUGAAAUGCGUUGAUAUCAGGGGGAACACCAAAGGCGAAAGCAGCUUACUGGCUUUUUUCUGACACUGAGGAACGAAAGCGUGGGUAGCGAAGGGGAUUAGAUACCCCCGUAGUCCACGCCCUAAACGAUGGAUACUAGACACAGGGAGAGUCGACCCUUUCCGUGUCGAAGCUAACGCGUUAAGUAUCCCGCCUGGGGAGUACGGCCGCAAGGCUAAAACUCAAAAGAAUUGACGGGGACCCGCACAAGCGGUGGAGCAUGUGGUUUAAUUCGACAAUAAACGAAGAACCUUACCAAGGUUAGAAAUCCUACUGCAAGCCUUUAGAAAUAAAGGAAGCCUUCGAGGGUGUAGGACAGGUGCUGCAUGGCUGCCGUCAGCUCGUGCCGUGAGGUGUUCGGUUAAGUCCGGUAACGAGCGCAACCCUUGUCCUGUGUUAUAUUUCACACAGGAGACUGCCGGCGUAUAGUCGGAGGAAGGUGAGGACGACGUCAAGUCCGCAUGGCCCUUGAUACCUUGGGCCACACACGUGCUACAAUGGGAAGAACAAAGGGAAGCUAAGCCGUAAGGUGGAGCAAAUCCCAUCAAAUCUUCUCUCAGUUCGGAUAGAGGUCUGCAAUUCGACCUCUUGAAGCUGGAAUCGCUAGUAACCGUGGGUCAGCUAUACCACGGUGAAUACGUUCUCGGGUCUUGUACACACCGCCCGUCACGUCAAGCGAGUUGGUAAUACCUAAAAUCUCUUCUUCGGAAGGGCC
rnacentral:rRNA from 1 species